UAAUAAUUUAUAAUAGAUUUUCAGAUCUUGUGAUACUUUUUAUAUAGAACCUUAUGGUAGUGUAGAUAACACCCUGGUUGGGGGUUAAGGGAUGGAAUAAUUCCUUAACCCCCAUAUUAUUUUUAAACACUCUCAAAAAUAGGUGGGGUUAGCUAACCCUAUCUCAAAUGGGCUAUUUCGGGUUAGCUAAUCCCACCAAACCUUACCAAACGCCAACCAAACGCUAUUUUCUAUUCAUAAUAACCUACUAUUUUUCUUAUGCCACCUACUCCAAUCAAACACUAUUUUUUACUAUUCUGGACUAACUCCAACCACCAACCAAACACAAAAAUACUCUAAUCCCACCUUAACCCUGAACUUAAUCCUAUUUCUGGAAUAACUAGUUUUUCUUAACCCCGAAUCAAACGGUAAUGAGAUUACAGAUACACAUAGUGCAAGCAAUAAUUUAUCCAUUCACAAAGCUCCA
rnacentral:lncRNA from 1 species